AAUGGAAGAGAAUAUCUGCUUGAGGCUCGCAGGCCCAGGCUUUGCUUCCAACCAGGCUGCCUCCUUGGUGCUGUCACACCUUGGCUUCGAAAAUACCCAAGCUGAAGCACUGCUUAAGUGUUACAUGCAGCUCUUGACACGUAAGAAGACAACCAUGGCCCCCUCAUUAGAAAGAAAGAGACAGUACUACAGAACAAAGCUUCUCAGACUGAAAAUCUCUGGUUAGAUCAGGUAACUUCUUUAAAUGUUGACAUGGGAACUCCAAAGAGAAAAAGGAGAUGAAUGGUGUACCUCUAGAAACAAAGUCCUUUAUAACAGAGAUAUGGGAGCUAGAAGUUAAACAUGGCUUGUCUUGCAUUCUCUGACAGUGUUCAAGAUUGGAAAGUAAGAGAACAAAGGGCUUGUCUGUGAUGCGUCCCUGUAAUUGCAGUGACAGUUACUGAACAUAUAUGCACCUGUAUGAAAUGUGUUUGCAGAGUCCCAUUGCAUUAAAAAAUCCAUCAUAUCUGUGGAAUUAGUAUUUGACCAAAAGUCUUAAAAGCAUUUCUUGGGUAGUUGUUUCUGUUCCAUGUAGUCAUUUCUCUGUAAACCUUGGUGGCAAUUUUCCCCCUUCAGCAAAUAGUAGGUUUGAAUUACUUGUUAUUUAGUGCAUACGAGCUUCUAGCAUUUCUAAAUGCUUUUGGCCUUCACUGCUGUUUGCUGUUUUUGUUGGGGGGAGGGACGACAUUGGUUUGAUUUUCCCUGUAUAAACAGAGGAAUGAAACAAUUACUUGUUUUGUCGAACACAUAACUAGUAGUGGUUUUUUGUUGUCUUUUUUUUUGUUUGUGUUUUUCCUUUCAGUUCUACUAUGACAAAGGAAGAGCCCCUUAUGGAAAAGCAGAACAUUCAAGAACUCUGAUAACAUUUAAGUGUGUUUUUUUGUUUGUUUGCUUGUUUUGUUCUGUUUUGUUUUUUCUUUUCUUUAUCCAGGCUAAAAACGCCUAACUUUGCAAUGCAUUUCAUGCUAUCACAUAUAUCAUAUUUGUCCUGUAGACCAUAUCUAUCAUGUGCGUGAAGUAGCUGGCAUUUAGACCCCAUUGCUUUCAGUAAUUCACCAGAUAAAUUCAGUAACUGAAAACAAGGGAGCUGUGAGACUGGGGCUCUUUUAAAAUGUUUUGAAGAGGUUUACAAAAAUGUACUUGCUUUUCAGUGACAUACCGUUAAGCUUAACUAGCUGUUCUCUUUCUAGCUUUGUGUAAGUAGUUAAUGCUUUGUUGUUGUUGUUGGUUUUGUCUGUUAGUUUUUGUCCACACAGUCACAUACCAGUACUGUGAAUGCUAUAUACUCACCAGAACACUUUGUUUCCUGUUAAAAGAGUUGGUGGUGUUAUUUGCUUUAAAGUAUAAAAUUUACAAUACUUUCACUGUAAACACAUUCUCUUCCCUUAAUAAAAAGGUCAAAUAGUACA
rnacentral:lncRNA from 1 species